ACUGAGCGCCAUCUCCCCGCAGACGCCCCGCCGGCCUCCCCCGCCCGCUGGGCCGAGGAGUACCUGCAGCAGUCGGAGGAGAAGCUGUGGCUGGGGGAGCCCGAGGGCUCGGCCGCCUCCGAGCGCUGGUAUGACGAGUACCGCCCCAGGGGUUCCUGAGGCCUAUGGGGUCUGGCGGAGAGGCAGAGAGGCCGGCAGGGAGGCCUUGCCGAGGACGUGACAGAGUGCACUGAACACGGAACGGACUGCCAACAGACAGAUUCCGAGUUAGCCCAGACGAGGAACCGGUCAGAACAUGAAGCAGGCCUGGACAGUGAGCACAGUCAGACUCCAAGCAGAGUCGCAGCAGGCCUAGACUUGGUGCAGGCCCAGAAAAGCAGUGGAUCGGGACUUUGACUCCAAGGAGGUGCAGGAACAGGCCUGGAGCUGGAGCAGGCCAGACCUGGAGCAAGCCCUGACUCGGAGCAGGGCCCGACUCGGAGCAGACCCAGACCCCCGAGCCCCGUUGAGAUGCGGAGCUGGCAGUGAGCAAGGUCCAUCACAGAAUGCACGUGCCGCCAUGGGCCCUGCCCAGAUCUGCGCUGGGAGAAAGGCGGGAGUUGGGCCGGAAGUGGUCUUUAAGGGGGGCGGGGCGGACGCUGGCGGUGACUGGUGCUCUGCAGGACUCAGGACCAUUCUCAGAUCACAACCCCACAAACCCGGGCCCUGCACUGCACACCUCCCUGCUCUUCCCCACUCCUCUCAUGCUCUGCUCCUCCCACAAAGCCAGAGGGUUCUCUAGGUGUGCACACUGCUCCUGUCCUCCAGGCCAGGGGUGCAGUGACCACUGAUUGCCACCAGAUGGUGCUCUAGGUGUGUUCACUGUC